UUGGCCUACGGGACGCAGCAGUGAGGAAUAUUGGUCAAUGGGCGGAAGCCUGAACCAGCCAAGUCGCGUGAGGGAAUAAGGCCCUACGGGUCGUAAACCUCUUUUGCCGGGGAGCAAGGGCCGGGACGCGUCCCGGCCCGGAGAGUACCCGGAGAAAAAGCAUCGGCUAACUCCGUGCCAGCAGCCGCGGUAAUACGGAGGAUGCGUGCGUUAUCCGGAUUUAUUGGGUUUAAAGGGUGCGUAGGCGGGCUUUUAAGUCAGCGGUAAAAAUUCGGGGCUCAACCCCGGCCCGCCGUUGAAACUGG
rnacentral:rRNA from 1 species